UCUUUCGUCGUCGCUCUAACCGCAUGCACGCUCGCCUACAUUCGCAUUAACGAUAACGGAUUACAAUUUUCCACAAGUUUUCUCAACACAGUCAAUUACUCGUGCGCGAUAACGCUUUAUGCAUGAUAUGCAUUAUUCCCAUAAAUACGUGCGAUGAGCAUUACCAUUGCCGUUUCCAAGUUAUAUUUCAGUCAAUCGAGUCUCUUAUAUUUUUCAUUUGCAACUCUUCCCCUUCAUUCAAUCGAUACAAUUACCCUCUAGAUUGUAUUCUCCAUCGCGCUCUGUUGCCAAUCAUUCCUCCAAGUCUAUAUAACCUCUGGAAAUGUCUUCUGUUCCGUAGAUUAUUCAUGGAGAAUGUGCACCAUGGGGGCUUCAAGUUUUUCGACUAUACAAAUAAAUAUUCGGUGUGUGCCUAUAUAAUCUCACACUCUUCUUCUUGACUCGCGUAUCUUGACGACUCUCUGCAAGAUGCUUCGACGCUAUCCUGACUUUUCUACUUUGUUGGAACAAACGUAUCGACCAGCGUUGCGGUGCAAAUAUUAUGCAUCGUUCCUUUUAAUUAUCCGAGCCCGACAGGCAGCAUGCGCUAUGGCGUUGCAAUUAUUGCAUUGUUGCCUAUUACGAGUAUCCUCCCCACCGGAUUCUUGUCAUCCACCGGAGAAUCUGUCAAAUUGUAAAAGUUUCUUAUCCGACCAAGGAUCACGACGGUAGCCGUUAUCAAACACCGCUGGGGGAAGAAACAACGACGACGCACCACCCACCACCGAUUCGACUUCUUCGCGUCGAUUGCCUCGCACAAGUAUUUCCGUGUUUCCUCAUCACGGAUCAAGGAGUA
rnacentral:lncRNA from 1 species